UGGGGAAUUUUGGACAAUGGGCGAAAGCCUGAUCCAGCAAUGCCGCGUGUGUGAAGAAGGCCUUCGGGUUGUAAAGCACUUUUGUCCGGAAAGAAAUCCUUGGCUCUAAUACAGUCGGGGGAUGACGGUACCGGAAGAAUAAGCACCGGCUAACUACGUGCCAGCAGCCGCGGUAAUACGUAGGGUGCAAGCGUUAAUCGGAAUUACUGGGCGUAAAGCGUGCGCAGGCGGUUUGCUAAGACCGAUGUGAAAUCCCCGGGCUCAACCUGGGAACUGCAUUGGUGACUGGCAGGCUAGAGUAUGGCAGAGGGGGGUAGAAUUCCACGUGUAGCAGUGAAAUGCGUAGAGAUGUGGAGGAAUACCGAUGGCGAAGGCAGCCCCCUGGGCCAAUACUGACGCUCAUGCACGAAAGCGUGGGGGAGCAAACAGGAUUAGAUACCCCUGGGUAGUCCACGCCCUAAACGAUGUCAACUAGUUGUUGGGGAUUCAUUUCCUUAGUAACGUAGCUAACGCGUGAAGUUGACCGCCUGGAGAGUACGGUCGCAAGAUUAAAACUCAAAGGAAUUGACGGGGUCAUAGCUGUUUCCU
rnacentral:rRNA from 1 species